CUUCAUUCUGUUAAUCCUCUUCUACUCCCUGCCGCCGCAGCCUCGCCAGUUAACGUCCUUUCCAUACCGUAUACGCUGGGUUAAGCCGUUUGAAACUUGCAAUCAUGGGUUGAAUCGUGUAUUCACCGAUGUCAUCGAUCAACAUGUAGUGCGGUAACACGCUGAUCAUCAAAUUCCUCGAAGUUUUCUCUUCGGAAAUAUACUAAUGCAAGAAAUGAGAUCCUGUAAGAUUUUGGUGAUUGCUCAGUCAAGAUGCUAAGAAGUGUGUAUUGUAACUACUGCUGUGUGAGCAUACAAGUUGUUCUCUAAAGGCUUCCUGUGAUGUCUAGGCUGGAAAAGGUAAUUUCUUCUUUUAAACUCCUCAUGGUUUUUCCUUUUCAUUUGAUCCUGCUUGGUUUAUUACCUUUUAUUUGGCUGAAAUACAUGAAGGUACAGAUUUCAGGUUUGAAACCAAUAAUGACACGGUUUUUAAAAUCACACUAUCUUGCUUUUUCACAUAAUGAACCUCAAAUCGCAUCCGAUGACUCUCAGUAGUGGACCUUUUAACCAAUGUCAUACUUAUCUGAUUUUUUCAUUGAAACAAAAAAUAAGCCUCAGUUCUAUUUACAUAUUGUAUCAUCAUGUUUUGAGGUUUCCUGUUACUUUGGAAAAUUUCUUGGGCAGUGACAAAAUUUUACAUGUUUGAAUUAACAGUAGAUUGCCCAAACCCUUUUCAGACUGUUAGUGACACCAAUUAAGGACGUUCGUGCAAAAAUUUUCCAACAUUGAUAGUUUUCUGACACUUUUACCACUGUAAGAUGCUGAG